rnacentral:rRNA from 1 species
CAGCAGCCACGGUAAUACAGAGGGUGCGAGCGUUAAUCGGAUUUACUGGGCGUAAAGCGUGCGUAGGCGGCUUCUUAAGUCGGAUGUGAAAUCCCUGAGCUUAACUUAGGAAUUGCAUUCGAUACUGGGAAGCUAGAGUAUGGGAGAGGAUGGUAGAAUUCCAGGAGUAGCGGUGAAAUGCGUAGAGAUCUGGAGGAAUACCGAUGGCGAAGGCAGCCAUCUGGCCUAAUACUGACGCUGAGGUACGAAAGCAUGGGGAGCAAACAGGAUUAGAUACCCGCGUAGUCCCUGUCUCUUAUAC